UGGUGGAGCGAUUUGUCUGGUUAAUUCCUAUAACGAACGAGACUCUAGCCUGCUAACUAGUCGUAGUGUCUAAUACAAUUGCAUUGCGCAGCUUCUUAGAGGGAUAAGCGGCAUCUAGCCGCACGAGAUUGAGCAAUAACA
rnacentral:rRNA from 1 species